rnacentral:rRNA from 1 species
AACGAACGCUGGCGGCAGGCUUAACACAUGCAGGUCGAGCGCCCCGCAAGGGGAGCGGCAGACGGGUGAGCAACACGUGGGAAUCUACCCAUCCCUACGGAACAACUCCGGGAAACUGGAGCUAAUACCGUAUACGCCCUUCGGGGGAAAGAUUUAUCGGGGAUGGAUGAGCCCGCGUUGGAUUAGCUAGUUGGUGGGGUAAAGGCCUACCAAGGCGACGAUCCAUAGCUGGUCUGAGAGGAUGAUCAGCCACAUUGGGACUGAGACACGGCCCAAACUCCUACGGGAGGCAGCAGUGGGGAAUAUUGGACAAUGGGCGCAAGCCUGAUCCAGCCAUGCCGCGUGAAUGAUGAAGGCCUUAGGGUUGUAAAGUUCUUUCACCGAUGAAGAUAAUGACGGUAGUCGGAGAAGAAGCCCCGGCUAACUUCGUGCCAGCCGCCGCCGUAA